rnacentral:rRNA from 1 species
CCUACGGGAGGCAGCAGUGAGGAAUAUUGGUCAAUGGACGAGAGUCUGAACCAGCCAAGUAGCGUGAAGGAUGACUGCCCUAUGGGUUGUAAACUUCUUUUAUAUGGGAAUAAAAUGUUCCACGUGUGGGAUUUUGUAUGUACCAUAUGAAUAAGGAUCGGCUAACUCCGUGCCAGCAGCCGCGGUAAUACGGAGGAUCCGAGCGUUAUCCGGAUUUAUUGGGUUUAAAGGGAGCGUAGGUGGAUUGUUAAGUCAGUUGUGAAAGUUUGCGGCUCAACCGUAAAAUUGCAGUUGAAACUGGCAGUCUAGAGUGCAGUAGAGGUAGGCGGAAUGCGUGGUGUAGCGGUGAAAUGCUUAGAUAUCACGAAGAACUCCGAUUGCGAAGGCAGCUCACUGGACUGCAACUGACACUGAGGCUCGAAAGUGUGGGUAUCAAACAGGAUUAGAUACCCCAGUAGUC